GUUCAAAACAAGUGACGUGGAAAUUUCCAUAUUUCAAUGUUUGCAUGAACAUCUCCAACAGCCAAAAUAUCUCUAAAAUAAGCCCAAGUCGUGAUUAUUGCUGCGGUGGGAUUAAAAAAAAAACUGAAACAUGAAGGAGGAUUUACCUCGUCAAGAUUAUAUAUACGGAUUUCUUUAUCUGUAGUACUGCUGACAAAUAAAUUAUGUAGCGGCGAGCACUUGAUACAGAUACAAACCUUCGAUGGAAGUUACACUAUCCAAACUACAUUUAUAGAUUCCACCGCAUAGCGUUCCAACGAUAAAUAUACUGGGAUGCGCUGGAGAAAAAUCGAAACUCGUGAUACACAAUCCUGCUUCUGCAGCGCGCUCGCGAGUACCUCCGGCGCUGCGUGGCCUA